GACGAACGCUGGCGGCGUGCCUAAUACGUGCAAGUCGAACGCUUCUUUUUCCACCGGAGCUUGCUCCACCGGAAAAAGAGGAGUGGCGAACGGGUGAGUAACACGUGGGUAACCUGCCCAUCAGAAGGGGAUAACACUUGGAAACAGGUGCUAAUACCGUAUAACAAUCAAAACCGCAUGGUUUUGAUUUGAAAGGCGCUUUCGGGUGUCGCUGAUGGAUGGACCCGCGGUGCAUUAGCUAGUUGGUGAGGUAACGGCUCACCAAGGCCACGAUGCAUGGCCGACCUGAGAGGGUGAUCGGCCACAUUGGGACUGAGACACGGCCCAAACUCCUACGGGAGGCAGCAGUAGGGAAUCUUCGGCAAUGGACGAAAGUCUGACCGAGCAACGCCGCGUGAGUGAAGAAGGUUUUCGGAUCGUAAAACUCUGUUGUUAGAGAAGAACAAGGAUGAGAGUAACUGUUCAUCCCUUGACGGUAUCUAACCAGAAAGCCACGGCUAACUACGUGCCAGCAGCCGCCGUAA
rnacentral:rRNA from 1 species